CCACACUGAAGGAUGCCUACCUGGAGGUGACACUGCGGCCCCUGGAGGAGGUGUGGCGGGAGCGGGCAGAGGAGGCCAUGCGGCGGCUGCAGGCCUGGGUGCCCGGGAUGCCAGGCAAUGGGGGUCCAAGGCCCAUCAGGGUGGCCCUGGGGGCUGUGAAAGGAGCCCUGGAGCUGGUGAGUGAGAGCAAGGAUGGGGCGUGGCUGGCAGGUGAGGAUGACUGAGCCAGCUCUCACUGUCCCCUCCCUCUCCAGGCCGCCCACCAGAUGCUGUCCUGGGCUGAGGCCACGUUCUCACGGGCACUGAAGAGGUUCUGCAAACCGCUGCUGGACCUGUACAGCCUGUCGGCCAGGAACCGCUCAGUGGUGGUGACGCUGCCACUGUUGCCUGCAGGGGACGAGCCCCUGGACGUGGCCCGGGUGACCAGCUACCUCAUGGAGAAGCUGCUGCGGCCG
rnacentral:sRNA from 1 species